UAAUUAGUUAUGUGCCGGACUUUUCUGCCUUACAAGCAGAGGGUCGGCGGUUCGAAUCCGUCAACGCCCA
rnacentral:tRNA from 1 species